rnacentral:rRNA from 1 species
UACGUAGGUGGCAAGCGUUGUCCGGAAUUAUUGGGCGUAAAGAGCGUGUAGGCGGCCCGAUUAGUCCGCUGUGAAAGUCCAGGGCUCAACCCUGGAAUGCCGGUGGAUACUGUCGGGCUAGAGUCCGGAAGGGGCGAGUGGAAUUCCUGGUGUAGCGGUGAAAUGCGCAGAGUAUCGGGAAGAACACCCGUGGCGAAGGCGGUUCUCUGGGACGGUACUGACGCUGAGACGCGAAAGCGUGGGGAGCGAACAGG